rnacentral:rRNA from 1 species
AUUGAACGCUGGCGGCAGGCCUAACACAUGCAAGUCGAACGAGUGGCGGACGGGUGAGUAAUGUCUGGGAAACUGCCCUAUGGAGGGGGAUAACUACUGGAAACGGUAGCUAAUACCGCAUACCAUCGGAUGUGCCCAGAUGGGAUUAGCUUGUAAGUGAGGUAACGGCUAACCUUGGCAACGAACCCUAGCUGGUCUGAGAGGAUGACCAGCAACACUGGAACUGAGACACGGUCCAGACUACGACGGGAGGCAGCAGUGGGGAAUAUUGCACAAUGGGCGAAAGCCUGAUGCAGCCAUGCCGCGUGUAUGAAGAAGGCCUUCGGGUUGUAAAGUACUUUCAGCGGGGAGGCGGUACCCGCAGAGGAAGCACCGGCUAACUCCGUGCCAGCCGCCGCGGUAAUAC